rnacentral:rRNA from 1 species
UACGGAGGGUGCAAACGUUGCUCGGAAUCAUUGGGCGUAAAGCGCACGUAGGUGGCCUGUUAAGUCGGGUGUGAAAGCCCUGGGCUCAACCCAGGAAGUGCACUCGAAACUGGCAGGCUUGAGUACUGAAGAGGGUCGCGGAAUUCCCGGUGUAGAGGUGAAAUUCGUAGAUAUUCGCAAGAACACCGGUGGCGAAGGCGGCUAUCUGGACCGUAACUGACGCUGAGGCGCGAAAGCGUGGGGAGCAAACAGG